rnacentral:rRNA from 1 species
UUCCAGACUCCUACGGGAGGCAGCAGUGGGGGAUAUUGCACAAUGGGGGAAACCCUGAUGCAGCGACGCCGCGUGGGUGAAGAAGCGCCUCGGCGCGUAAAGCCCUAUCGGCAGGGAAGAAGGAGGACGGUACCUGACUAAGAAGCCCCGGCUAACUACGUGCCAGCAGCCGCGGUAAUACGUAGGGGGCAAGCGUUAUCCGGAUUUACUGGGUGUAAAGGGGGCGCAGACGGCAGCGCAAGCCAGGAGUGAAAGCCCGGGGCCCAACCCCGGGACUGCUCUUGGAACUGCGCGGCUGGAGUGCAGGAGGGGCAGGCGGAAUUCCUGGUGUAGCGGUGAAAUGCGUAGAUAUCAGGAGGAACACCGGUGGCGAAGGCGGCCUGCUGGACUGCGACUGACGUUGAGGCCCGAAAGCGUGGGGAGCAAACAGGAUUAGAUACCCUGGUAU